CGGAGACUCUGGUGUCCCUGAGGGUCCACACUGUGGAUGACAUCCAGCAGAUCGCUGCUGCGCUGGCCCAGUGCAUGGGGCCCAGCAGGGAGCUCGUAUGCCGCUCGUGCCUGAAGCAGACGCUGCACAAGCUGGAGGCCAUGAUGCGCAUCCUGCAGGCAGAGACCACCGCGGGCACCGUGACGCCCACCGCCAUCGGAGACAGCAUCCUCAACAUCACAGGAGACCUCAUCCACCUGGCCAGCUCAGACGUGCGGGCACCACAGCGCUCAGAGCUGGGAGCCGAGUCACCAUCGCGGAUGGUGGCGUCCCAGGCCUACAACCUGACCUCUGCCCUCACGCCCAUCCUCACGCGCUCCCGCGUGCUCAACGAGGAGCCCCUGACGCUGGCGGGCCGCUACCUGUCUGAGGAACCCGAGCCCUACCUGGCAGUCUACCUGCACUCGGAGCCCCGGCCCAAUGAGCGCAACUGCUCGGCUAGCAGGAGGAUCCGCCCAGAGUCCCUCCAGGGUGCCGACCACCGGCCCUACACCUUCUUCAUUUCCCCGGGGACCAGAGACCCAGUGGGGAGUUACCGUCUGAACCUCUCCAGCCACUUCCGCUGGUCGGCGCUGGAGGUGUCCGUGGGCUUGUACACGUCCCUGUGCCAGUACUUCAGCGAGGAGGACGUGGUGUGGCGGACAGAGGGGCUGCUGCCCCUGGAGGAGACCUCGCCCCGCCAGGCCGUCUGCCUCACCCGCCACCUCACCGCCUUCGGCACCAGCCUCUUCGUGCCCCCAAGCCAUAUCCGCUUUGUGUUUCCUGAGCCAACAGCGGAUGUAAACUACAUCGUCAUGCUGACAUGUGCUGUGUGCCUGGUGACCUACAUGGUCAUGGCCGCCAUCCUGCACAAGCUGGACCAGUUGGAUGCCAGCCGGGGCCGCGCCAUCCCCUUCUGUGGGCAGCGGGGCCGCUUCAAGUACGAGAUCCUCGUCAAGACAGGCUGGGGCCGGGGCUCAGGUACCACGGCCCACGUGGGCAUCAUGCUGUAUGGGGUGGACAGCCGGAGCGGCCACCGGCACCUGGACGGCGACAGAGCCUUCCACCGCAACAGUCUGGACAUCUUCCAGAUCGCCACCCCGCACAGCCUGGGUAGCGUGUGGAAGAUCCGAGUGUGGCACGACAACAAAGGGCUCAGCCCUGCCCGGUUCCUGCAGCACAUCAUCGUCAGGGACCUGCAGACGGCACGCAGCACCUUCUUCCUGGUCAAUGACUGGCUUUCGGUGGAGACGGAGGCCAACGGGGGCCUGGUGGAGAAGGAGGUGCUGGCCGCGAGUCACGCAGCCCUGUUGCGCUUCCGGCGCCUGCUGGUGGCUGAGCUGCAGCGUGGCUUCUUUGACAAGCACAUCUGGCUCUCCAUAUGGGACCGGCCGCCUCGUAGCUAUUUCACUCACAUCCAGAGGGCCACCUGCUGCGUUCUCCUCAUCUGUCUCUUCCUGGGCGCCAACGCCGUGUGGUACGGGGCUGUUGGAGACUCUGCCUACAGCACGGGGCGUGUGUCCAGGCUGAACCCGCUGAGCGUCGACACAGUCGCUGUUGGCCUGGUGUCCAGCGUGGUUGUCUAUCCCGUCUACCUGGCCAUCCUCUUUCUCUUCCGGAUGUCCCGGAGCAAGGUGGCUGGGAGCCCGAGCCCCACACCUGCCGGGCAGCAGGUGCUGGACGUCGACAGCUGCCUGGACUCAUCCGUGCUGGACAGCUCCUUCCUCACGUUCUGAGGCCUCCACGCUGAGCAGGCCUUUGCUGGACAGAUGAAGAGUGACUUGUUUCUGGAUGAUUCUAAGAGUGACCUUGAGGAACCCUGGGAGCUCAGGAAGGAAGGAGCGCCCAGAAGCAGGGACAGGGAGCUGGUUGGGGAGGACCAGAAAUCAGGUUAUCAAUACUCUGGCUGACCAUCGUCAUCGUGGGACUGACUUUGGUGGAAGUCCUUGGUUACUUAUCAUUACUGUGUUUCUGAGAAGUUAUAAAUUUGCCAUCUCCCUCUGCACAAGUUACCUUUGUGUGUCUUUCCUGAAGACUAUCUUCCCGUCUCAAAAUGGACAUGAUGGAUCCACGGAUGUACAGCAGAGAGCCAGGAGGUCCAACCGCCGUAGACAGGAAGGAAUUAAAAUUGUCCUGGAAGACAUCUUUACUUUAUGGAGACAGGUGGAAACCAAAGUUCGAGCUAAAAUCCGUAAGAUGAAGGUGACAACAAAAGUCAACCGUCAUGACAAAAUCAAUGGAAAGAGGAAGACCGCCAAAGAACAUCUGAGGAAACUAAGCAUGAAAGAACGUGAGCACGGAGAAAAGGAGAGGCAGGUGUCAGAGGCAGAGGAAAAUGGGAAAUUGGAUAUGAAAGAAAUACACACCUACAUGGAAAUGUUUCAACGUGCGCAAGCGUUGCGGCGGCGGGCAGAGGACUACUACAGAUGCAAAAUCACCCCUUCUGCAAGAAAGCCUCUUUGCAACCGGGUCAGAAUGGCGGCAGUGGAGCAUCGUCAUUCUUCAGGAUUGCCCUACUGGCCCUACCUCACAGCUGAAACUUUAAAAAACAGGAUGGGCCACCAGCCACCUCCUCCAACUCAACAACAUUCUAUAAUUGAUAACUCCCUGAGCCUCAAGACACCUUCCGAGCGUCUGCUCUAUCCCCUUCCACCCUCAGCGGAUGAUAAUCUCAAGACACCUCCCGAGUGUCUGCUCACUCCCCUUCCACCCUCAGCUCUACCCUCAGCGGAUGAUAAUCUCAAGACACCUGCGGAGUGUCUGCUCUAUCCCCUUCCACCCUCAGCGGAUGAUAAUCUCAAGACACCUCCCGAGUGUCUGUUCACUCCCCUUCCACCCUCAGCUCCACCCUCAGUGGAUGAUAAUCUCAAGACACCUCCCGAGUGUGUCUGCUCACUCCCCUUCCACCCUCAGCGGAUGAUAAUCUCAAGAAACUAAGGAAGAAUAAAUAAAUAAUAUAAAAAUAAAAUGAAUA
rnacentral:misc_RNA from 1 species